AAUAUUGGACAAUGGGCGAAAGCCUGAUCCAGCCAUGCCGCGUGUGUGAAAAAGGUCCUCGGAUUGUAAAACACUGUAAGUUGGGAGGAAGGGCGGUAAGUUAAUACGUUGCUGUUUGGACGUUACCGACCGAAUAAGCACCGGCUAACUUCGGGCCAGCAGCCGCGGUAAUACGAAGGGUGCAAGCGUGAUUCGGCAUUACUGGGCGUAAAGCUGGCGUAGGUGGUUUGUUAAGUUGGAAGUGAAAGCCCCGGGCUCAACCUGGGAACUGCUUUCAAAACUGGCAAGCUAGAGUAUGGCAGAGGGUGGUGGAAUUUCCUGUGUAGCGGUGAAAUGCGUAGAUAUAGGAAGGAACACCAGUGGCGAAGGCGACCACCUGGGCUAAUACUGACACUGAGGUGCGAAAGCGUGGGGAGCAAAC
rnacentral:rRNA from 1 species